rnacentral:rRNA from 1 species
UACGUAGGGUGCGAGCGUUGUCCGGAAUUAUUGGGCGUAAAGGGCUCGUAGGCGGUUUGUCGCGUCUGCUGUGAAAAUCCGGGGCUCAACCCCGGACUUGCAGUGGGUACGGGCAGACUGGAGUGCGGUAGGGGAGAUCGGAAUUCCUGGUGUAGCGGUGAAAUGCGCAGAUAUCAGGAGGAACACCGGUGGCGAAGGCGGAUCUCUGGGCCGUAACUGACGCUGAGGAGCGAAAGCAUGGGGAGCGAACAGG